GAAAAAGUCAUAGGGUAUAUGGGAUUGGCUUGAAACCAAUUUUUGGGGGUUCAAAUCCUUCCUUUUUC
rnacentral:tRNA from 3 species